rnacentral:rRNA from 1 species
AGAAUCAACGCUGGCGGCGUGCCUCAGACAUGCAAGUCGAACGCGAAAGUCCCCUUCGGGGGACAAGUAGAGUGGCGCACGGGUGAGUAACACGUAGGUAAUCUACCUUCGGAUGGGGAAUAACAACCGGAAACGGUUGCUAAUACCGCAUAAUGCAGCGGCACCUAAUGGUGACAGUUGUUAAAGCGGGGGAUCGAAAGACCUCGCGUCUGAAGAGGAGCCUGCGGCGGAUUAGCUAGUUGGUAAGGUAAUGGCUUACCAAGGCAACGA